CUUGGCUACAAGUCUUCAAUAUAACGUUUUCAAUUUUUUCCCUUUCUUUUUUCUAUUUUUCCUAAUUUGGAGUCACUGAAAGCUAAGCUGUGCUUUGUGAAGCCCUGUGAACUGAAGCUAGACAACUUAAACUUCAGAAGAAAAUAACAGCAACCUGUUUACAUAUAUAAGCUACUUUCAUACCUGCCUACUGAUGUAUGGACUUCAGAGUAGUGUGGCCUAUAUCGAUUUUCUAGGAUCAUUAUUUUGUUUGUUGUUUUUCUCCCUUCCUCCACCUAUUUUCUCUUCAUAGGACAUGAGGAUUCUCAACCUGAUAAAAAUGAGCUUUCCUAAUAACUCAAGACCCAUCUGCCUAGGAAUAAACCAUCCCAGCUGUGAGAGACCAGACGAAACCUGAGACCAGAGACUCGUUUUCUUCUAAAAUGCUUUCUCCAAAAGAUUUUUAAACAGAAAAAGGGGGAAAUGUGAAAGGAAAAGAAAACUUGAGGCCCCCAAAAUCACUAAGCUAAAAGGAAAAGUCAAGCUGGGAAUGGCUUAGGGCAAACCUGCCUCCCAUUCUAUGCAAAGUCAUCCCUCCGUGCACUGAGAUAAAUGCUUAUCUAAUUGCCUCCUUUGGAGAGGCUCAUCAGAAACUCAAAAUAAUGCAACCAUUUGACUCUCACCUACCUGUGACCUGGAAGAUCCCUCUCUGCUUGAGUUGUCCUGCUUUUCUGGAUGGAACCAAUGUUCAUCUUACAUAUAUUGAUUGAUGUCUCAUGUCUCCCUAAAAUGUAUAAAACCAAGCUGUGCCCUGACCACCUUGGGCACAUGUCGUCAGGACCUCCUGAGGCUGUGCCACAGGCAUGCAGCCUCAACCUUGGCAAAAUAAACUUUCUAAAUUGACUGAGACCAGUCUCAGAUAUUCAGGGUUCACAGUAUCCAAAAAUCCAAUCACAUCUGAAACCGCCUUUGCAAAAAUUAUCACAGUGAGAAAAUAAUGGCAGUGAAAGAAAGCUGAUCUAGCCAACCUCCCUCUUGCCUUUAGCUUUCAAGCUGCUUUUACUUAUUCCUGGGUUUAAGCCAAGCUACAUGUGGGAGUCAUUUAGUUGAUAGUUUAAAUUAUAAUAACCCUUCCCCGAAACUCAACCACCCUUGUAAUACUGAGAGACCACCAGGCUAGGAGGAGGAGAGGAGCCUAAAUUCUGCUAAGGUGUAGACAAAAACAAUUGUGAGGCGUUAUUCCAGAAGCCACAAGAUAUGCAACUUCCUCAGUUACCCCUGCAGAUAAUGUUACUUUUGUAGAACCUAGGAUUGGCCUUCUGAGAUAUCUUCUCAGGAUUUUGCAUGUCUGAUGACCGAUGGCUCCACCGGGACCAGCCAACGGCUUCUGUGUCCCCACCCAGAAGCGACUCAGAGAAAGAGGACAGCUUCGACACCCUAUGAUUUCAUCUCUGACCCAACCAAUCAGCACUCCCCAUACCCUAGCCUGCUACCUACCAAAUUACCUUUGAAAAAUCCCUAACCUCCAAGCCUUAGAUGAGUUUGAUUUGAGUAAUAACUCUGCCUCCCACAUGGUGUGGCUGGCAUCAUGUCAAUUAACCUCUUUCUUUACUGCAGUGCCAUGGUCUCCAUGAACUGAUUUUUUUGUGCAGUGGGCAGGAAGAACCCAUCGGGCAGCUACACAUCUUGAAAGAGAAGCUCUUCCUGUGAGGGAACGCAGAACGCUCUGGCACCUUCAACAGACUUGCCCCUUGGGGAGCUCUGGAGACAGCCACAGCAGCGCCCCUGGAGACCCCCGGCUGAAGGGACAGCAGCGAGAGGCCUCCCCACAAGGAGCCUGACAGCGGCUGGACUGAAGACUGUGAGGGAGCUGAGCCACAGUGCAUCCAAGCUGCUCCAGGUAGUCCCAGAAACAAGUGGAGGUGGUGGGAGAUGCCACGUGGCUGGGCUGAGAUCCUGAGUCAGCAGGCAGGUGCAGGGAGACAGAAAAUUAAAAUGUGACUUUUAUGUUGAUGUAACCUUCUUUAGAGCCACAGGCUGGGGCUUAGGCACAUUUGGUAAUAGAAGACAUCGCGCUUCCAUCCACAAGCAAGGAAAAUACACAAAAAUACACAAAACUCUCAGGAAUAUCUUCUAUUAUUAUCUCACACAUGAAAAAAGAUCUUCGGAGGUUUUAGAAAGUUAUCUGAGAGUCCCUCUCCCUCUCCCGCUCCCUCUCCCCACGGUCUCCCUCUCCCUCUCUUUCCAUGGUCUCCCUCUGAUGCCGAGCCGAAGCUGGACUGUACUGCUGCCAUCUCUGCUCACUGCAACCUCCCUGCCUGAUUCUCCUGCCUCAGCCUGCCGAGUGCCUGCGAUUGCAGGCGUGCGCCGCCACGCCUGACUGGUUUUCGUAUUUUUUUUGGUGGAGACGGGGUUUCGCUGUGUUGGCCGGGCUGGUUUCCAGCUCCUAACCGCGAGUGAUCUGCCAGCCUCGGCCUCCCGAGGUGCCGGGAUUGCAGACGGAGUCUCGUUCACUCAGUGCUCAAUGGUGCCCAGGCUGGAGUGCGGUGGCGUGAUCUCGGCUCGCUACAACCUCCACCUCCCAGCCGCCUACCUUGGCCGCCCAAAGUGCCGAGAUUGCAGCCUCUGCCCGG
rnacentral:lncRNA from 10 species